UCUUUCUUUGCUGGCGACCGGCGCACGGGUGAGUAACACGUAUCCAACCUGCCCUUUACUCGGGGAUAGCCUUUCGAAAGAAAGAUUAAUACCCGAUGGCAUAAUGAUUCCGCAUGGUUUCAUUAUUAAAGGAUUCCGGUAAAGGAUGGGGAUGCGUUCCAUUAGGUUGUUGGUGAGGUAACGGCUCACCAAGCCUUCGAUGGAUAGGGGUUCUGAGAGGAAGGUCCCCCACAUUGGAACUGAGACACGGUCCAAACUCCUACGGGAGGCAGCAUG
rnacentral:rRNA from 1 species